rnacentral:rRNA from 1 species
UACGGAGGGAGCUAGCGUUAUUCGGAAUUACUGGGCGUAAAGCGCACGUAGGCGGCUUUGUAAGUUAGAGGUGAAAGCCCGGAGCUCAACUCCGGAACUGCCUUUAAGACUGCAUCGCUUGAAUCCAGGAGAGGUGAGUGGAAUUCCGAGUGUAGAGGUGAAAUUCGUAGAUAUUCGGAAGAACACCAGUGGCGAAGGCGGCUCACUGGACUGGUAUUGACGCUGAGGAGCGAAAGCGUGGGGAGCGAACAGG